AAACGUUUUAGUCCCGGACUUAAAAUUAUUUACAGCGAAGAUUAUACAUGCAAGACUCCGCACCCCGGUGAGUAUACACAGGCAUAAAAAUGCAAACACCGGCAUCAGGGAUAUAGCCCUAAGACGCCAUGCCCCGCCACACCCACACGGGUACACAGCAGUAACUAACAUUUCAACAUGGGCCAAACAACCACAGCCCGACCAAGCUAUCGCUAGUGAUAGCCGGCAAAUAUCUGUGCCAGCCGCCGCGGCUACACAGAACGGCUAAAGAUUAUCAACCCGGGACAAAAAUGACUAAAAAUGACCCACAACCAUAGACCUAAAACAUACCCCGGAUCGUCAAACAACACUAACAAGAACCCCUAAAACCUUAAACCAAGGAUAUUCUACUCAUAAAAAUCGGGCUACAAACCAGGAUUAGACACCCUAUUAUGCCGACCCUAACACCCAAUGCCAAAAAAGUACAAAAAAUUUAAACUUAAAAGACCUGGCGGUGCCUAAAACCACCCUAGAGGAGCCUGUUUUAUAAUCGAUAGUCCACGAUAGACCUCACCCGCUCUAGCACAGACCCAGCCUAUAUACCGCCGUCGACAGCCCAUCCCCCGAGAGAUGAAGCAACACCCCAGAGCCAUAAACCCCCAAACGACAGGUCAAGGUGUAGCCAAUGAGCGGGCAAUAAAUGAGCUACACUACUCAACAAGCCCGGAAUUCGACACUGAAACUAGCGCGAAAAGAAGAAGGAUUUAGCAGUAAGAAAGAUAAGUGCGUCUUUCUGAAUACGACAUUUAGGCACGCACACACCGCCCGUCACCCUCUUUGAAAUUUAGAAGAGGCAAGUCGUAACAUGGUAAGUGUACCAGAAGGUGCACUUGGAAG
rnacentral:ncRNA from 1 species